rnacentral:rRNA from 1 species
GGCAGCCGCGGUAAUUCCAGCUCCAAUAGCGUAUAUUAAAGUUGUUGCAGUUAAAAAGCUCGUAGUUGAAUUUCGGGGUCAGUAGGUUGGUCAUGCCACUGGUAUGUACUGGCCUCACUGAUUCCUCCUUCCUGAUGAGCCGUAAUGCCAUUAAUUUGGUGUUGCGAGGAAUCUGGACUGUUACUUUGAAAAAUUAGAGUGUUUAAAGCAGGCUAACGCUUGAAUACAUUAGCAUGGAAUAAUGAAAUAGGACGUUCGAUCUUAUUUUGUUGGUUUCUAAGAUUGACGUAAUGAUUAAUAGGGAUAGUUGGGGGCAUUAGUAUUCAAUUGUCAGAGGUGAAAUUCUUGGAUUUAUUGAAGACUAACUACUGCGAAAGCAUUUGCCAAGGACGUUUUCAUUAAUCAAGAACGAAAGUUAGGGGAUCGAAGACGAUCAGAUACCGUCGUAGUCUUAACCAUAAACUAUGCCGACUAGGGAUCGGACGAUGUUAAUUUUUAAUGACUCAUUCGGCGCCUUAAC